GAUGGCUGGAUUAGUGAUCGGUCAUCGGUGUUUUUUCUUAUUUAUGGAGUAUUAAAAUGUCACUAACCAAUGAACAGCGCCUUGCUAUCAUUAAGGAAUACGGUCGUGAUGAA
rnacentral:ncRNA from 1 species